rnacentral:piRNA from 1 species
UGAAGUAUUUUGAAGGCUUACAAAGUGCCCA